rfam:Picea glauca, whole genome shotgun sequence.
AUGUACAUGCCUACAAAAUUAAUGCACUGGAUCCCAUUAGAAAUUCACAAUUAAGCGUGAUUAGGCUAGGGUAUUAUUGGGAUGGGUGACCUCUCAGGAACUUUGAGUGUUUUACAUG